rnacentral:ribozyme from 1 species
UUCAUAAUGCUUGUAAAAUUCGUAAGAAAGAGUAUGGAGGUGAGGGAGGGACUGCAGAGGAGGAGGAGGAAAGGAGACGAUUAUCGUUUGUUUGUUUGAAAUGCCAUAAGGAAAAAAAUCAAAAGAAGGAAGAAGAAAAGAAAAAGAAAC